UAAUACGGAGGGUGCAAGCGUUAUCCGGAUUCACUGGGUUUAAAGGGAGCGUAGGUGGGCAGGUAAGUCAGUGGUGAAAUCCUUGAGCUUAACUCGAGAACUGCCAUUGAUACUAUCUGUCUUGAAUGUUGUGGAGGUCAGCGGAAUAUGUCAUGUAGCGGUGAAAUGCUUAGAUAUGACAUAGAACACCAAUUGCGAAGGCAGCUGGCUACACAAAUAUUGACACUGAGGCUCGAAAGCGUGGGGAUCAAACAGGAUUAGAUACCCUGGUAGUCCACGCCCUAAACGAUGGAUACUCGACAUACGCGAUACACAGUGUGUGUCUGAGCGAAAGCAUUAAGUAUCCCACCUGGGAAGUACGACCGCAAGGUUG
rnacentral:rRNA from 1 species